UACGGAGGAUCCGAGCGUUAUCCGGAUUUAUUGGGUUUAAAGGGUGCGCAGGCGGGAGAUUAAGUCGGCGGUGAAAUUUUGCAGCUCAACUGUAAAAGUGCCUUCGAAACUGGUUUCCUUGAGUGUGGAUGAAGUAGGCGGAAUUUGUGGUGUAGCGGUGAAAUGCAUAGAUAUCACGAGGAACUCCGAUUGCGCAGGCAGCUUACUAAACCAUAACUGACGCUCAGGCACGAAGGCGUGGGGAUCAAACAGGAUUAGAUACCCGGGUAGU
rnacentral:rRNA from 1 species